AGGUGGUCAUCAAUUCCGAUAAAAUACGUUUGCAGGAAUUGUGGAACAAUAUUGCAUAAGUUUGAAAAGGUUGGACAAGAUUUCUAUGGUGUGAGGACUCCCUCAGAGAUUAAAUCAAUAUUCGGAGGCAGAUGCCCUAGAUGUGGACAUGAGUUAGGUAUCCCGACUUUAAACGAUAUAAAGAUAAAUCUUAAAAAGAAGGCAACAAAAGUUAUGGUUUUAGAACAACUGAGAUAAGAGCUGGUCAAAAGUUAUUUCAGAUUUAGAAUACUUGACCCCC
rnacentral:sRNA from 1 species